rnacentral:rRNA from 1 species
AACGUGGAGACAGGUGGUGCAUGGCUGUCGUCAGCUCGUGUCGUGAGAUGUUGGGUUAAGUCCCGCAACGAGCGCAACCCUCACCCCUCGUUGCCAUCAGGUCAUGCUGGGCACUCUAGGGGAACUGCCCCGGUCAACGGGGAGGAAGGCGGGGAUGACGUCAAGUCAUCAUGCCCCUUACGCCCUGGGCUACACACGUGCUACAAUGGCCGGUACAAAGGGAUGCCACACCGCGAGGUAGAGCUAAACCCAAAAAGCCGGUCUAAGUUCAGAUUGGAGUCUGCAACUCGACUCCAUGAAGGAGGAAUCGCUAGUAAUCGCGUAUCAGCACGACGCGGUGAAUACGUUCCCGGGCCUUGUACACACCGCCCGUCACACCACGAAAGCCAGCUGUACUCGAAGUCGCUGAG